ensembl:lncRNA
UUAAAGAGGAGGUAUUUACUUCUGUGGGGUAUUAAAGAGGAGCUAUUUACUUUUACGGGGUAUUAAAGAGGAGGUAUUUACUUCUCUGGGGUAUUAAAGAGGAGGUAUUUACUUCUGUGGGGUAUUAAAGAGGAGGUAUUUACUUCUCUGGGGUAUUAAAGAGGAGGUAUUUACUUCUGUGUUGUAUUAAAGAGGAGGUAUUUACUUCUCUGGGGUAUUAAAGAGGAGGUAUUUACUUCUAUGGGGUAUUAAAGAGGAGGUAUUUACUUCUGUGGGGUAUUAAAGAGGAGGUAUUUACUUCUGUGGGGUAUUAAAGAGGAGGUAUUUACUUCUCUGGGGUAUUAAAGAGGAGGUAUUUAC